rnacentral:rRNA from 1 species
AGUGAUCAUUGGCGGCGUGUUUAACACAUGCAAGUCGAGCGAGAACCUAGUGAACAAGACUUCGGUCAAGGAAUCUAGCGGAAAGCGGCGGACGGGUAAGUAACGCGUAGGCAAUCUGCCCUAUCCACAGGGAUAGCCUCGGGAAACCGGGAUUAAUACCUGAUGAUGCUAUGCUAUCGCAUGAGGGUAUGGUCAAAGAUUUAUCGGGAUAGGAUGAGCCUGCGUCUGAUUAGCUAGUUGGUGCGGUAAUGGCGUACCAAGGCGAUGAUCAGUAGCCGACCUGAGAGGGUGAUCGGCCACACCGGUACUGAGACACGGACCAGACUCCUACGGGAGGCAGCAGUGGAGAAUCUUGCACAAUGGGGGCAACCCUGAUGCAGCAACGCCGCGUGAGUGAUGAAGGUCUUUGGAUCGUAAAACUCUGUCCUAAGGGAAGAUAAUGACGGUACCUUAGGAGGAAGCCUCGGCUAACUACGUGCCAGCAGCCGCAGUAA